AACCCAUGGUGAGGCACAUUCUCAAUAAAUCAUUAUACCUCUCCUAUGCAUCAUAUAGAGUCUCUAAAUCCUUUUGCACGAAGGAAGAGAUAUCAUUCCUCAGCUU
rnacentral:snoRNA from 1 species